rnacentral:misc_RNA from 1 species
UCCGAUAUUUACAGUUAUCUACAGAAAAUUUUAAGCAAAACGCGCAAAAAAACUCUUGUUAUUUUAGUGGAAGUUUAAUGAUUUUAAUACAUAGUUAGAGUUAAGUUCUGUUCUAAGGAAGUAUUGUUCCACUUUACUUAUCAUGGAAGUACAUUUGGAAGUGCACGAGUCUGUGGAAUGUACAGUUUUGUACAAAGGGACAGGCCAGACCUUCCGGCCAUUGCAAUGUCAGUGAGACGGGACGUACACGCGACGCGGGAGACCGUGGGCAACUGCCUCCCAACUUUCCGAUUUGCACAGCCAAACUACGGGCAUGGCGAAAACACUGCGUGUGCCGCGCUGAUAAACCCCAUGCAAUCGGAAUGCACCUGCUCCAGCAGCACAUCUAACUCCAACUCCACAUCCAACUCCCCCCAAGCCGUUAAGCCAACGCUAACGAGAGCAGAACUUGAUGAGCGCUCAACAGUCUUCAGCCUUAUGGAUGGGAGAUGCAUGGUGUGGCAUGGCUAUGGUAUGGCAUUGGAACGGAUUGGAUUGCAUGUUGCAAAUUGCCGCAUUAGUGACUGCACUUGAGGAGUGCAUCGCUCGAAGAUGUUUGGGGCUGGCUGUCCGACACCAACUAUCAGCUGAACAUGAUGUUUUAAUUGCUCUAUCUCUCUCUCUGUCUCUCCUACUGUUUCCAUUCAGAUACUCCGAACAUUGGAUGGGACUGGGGUACGCAAAUAGUAGUUAUAUUUUGCGGCAUGACGUAGGCCGCUUGAGGAUUGCGGUAUUGCGGAACCGAACCGUAGGGACGUGGGGAGGGAUGGCAGGUGUGAAUGAGUGCCUUUCUUCGCAUUGAUUUUCCUUUGCCUAAUAUUUAACCUACAUUUUAUGGGGCGCUACUCGAAUUUCGGUGACACACUUUGGCUCGCAGGAAGUGACUAGACCGGUGUGCUGUGUUAUGGCCAUGACGCGUGCCGGGCCCGGACCCGGGCCUGUGCCUGCACUUUUCCUGCAUCUCAUUACGGCUGGGGUCACACAUUAAGAACCGUUUUUAAUUGGAGUCCCCUCGAGGAAAUUGGUAUUGGUAUACGAAAAGCCGCGAAAAAUGAACAUUGGAAACGGAGAGCGAGAGCGAUAGAGCCCACGAUGGGACGUUGGCACUGACUGAAAUGGAACUGCCUCCACGGCGCCGCGGCGCGUUCAUACACCGAACAUGUCGCAAAGGAACUUUCUGGAUUGGAUCCCAGGGUCGUCGGCUCUGGCAUUCGGCUAGCGCCGCGUCAUCAUGAGCCAGCCAUGACGCUCAUUCAUACGACGCCGAAUCAAACGCUGGGCUACAGCUUCGAGACGAAGGACCUAUGUAUCGUAAGCUUCGCCACAAACGAAGUCGUAUCCGAUUUCAACCCGCCAGACGGGGUCGUAUCAAAGUAUUCCAGCCGGACAGAAUCGUAUCCCAGCAGGACAGAAUCGCACCCCGCAGCAUCCGAGUCUAACAAGCCAUCGACAACAAGGACUUUGACUGUGGCAACCAAGCGAGGGGCUACGCGGGCUACUAGACUCUAGAUACAUAUCGUUGUUGUUAGGUUUAAGGAUACAUUCGUUCAUACAUUUAGAUAGUAUAUACAAAUUUUGUCCACUUGUUUAUUUAUUUAUACUAACGAAUCCUAUACUAAGCUAUGUUUUGAUGAAUAAAAUGAUUGAAAACUCA